rnacentral:lncRNA from 1 species
UUUUACUUAUUCCGGAAGAAACCUCCUAGAAUAAACCCGUAUAGGGAGAUUCAAACACGAGAAAUGACUAGUUGCUUAAGCGUUCACGUUAGGGUCACACAAUCAAUUAUCUCCUAAAUGUAUCAUCUCUAUUUUCAAUAUCUAAACACACAAAGAAACUAUAAUCUCCUCCUUCACCUUAUCGGUCUCUUCCUUACAACAAUUCAGUCAUAUCAAUAAUUACUAUUUCUACCAAUAUAUUCACCUUCAUAAUCUCCAACUAUAAUACUGCGCCCUCACAGCUUUCGGUACACAAUUACCCUCGUUCCAAUCAUUGGAAUUCUUCACACAAAACUGCCAUUCACAUUACAGUGUUUCACACAAACACAGACUCAUUCUCUCUUCUGAACUA